GAUGAACGCUGGCGGCGUGCCUAAUACAUGCAAGUCGAGCGAACGGACGAGAAGCUUGCUUCUCUGAUGUUAGCGGCGGACGGGUGAGUAACACGUGGAUAACCUACCUAUAAGACUGGGAUAACUUCGGGAAACCGUAGCUAAUACCGGAUAAUAUUUUGAACCGCAUGGUUCAAAAGUGAAAGACGGUCUUGCUGUCACUUAUAGAUGGAUCCGCGCUGCAUUAGCUAGUUGGUAAGGUAACGGCUUACCAAGGCAACGAUGCAUAGCCGACCUGAGAGGGUGAUCGGCCACACUGGAACUGAGACACGGUCCAGACUCCUACGGGAGGCAGCAGUAGGGAAUCUUCCGCAAGGGGCGAAAGCCUGACGGAGCAACGCCGCGUGAGUGAUGAAGGUCUGCGGAUCGUAAAACUCUGUUAUUAGGGAAGAACAUAUGUGUAAGUAACUGUGCACAUCUUGACGGUACCUAAGCAGAAAGCCACGGCUAACUACGU
rnacentral:rRNA from 1 species